rnacentral:rRNA from 1 species
UACGGAAGGCAGCAGUGGGGAAUAUUGCACAAUGGGCGCAAGCCUGAUGCAGCCAUGCCGCGUGUAUGAAAAAGGCCUUCGGGUUGUAAAGUACUUUCAGUCGUGAGGAAGGUGUUAAGGUUAAUAACCUUAGCAAUUGACGUUAGCGACAGAAGAAGCACCGGCUAACUCCGUGCCAGCAGCCGCGGUAAUACGGAGGGUGCGAGCGUUAAUCGGAAUUACUGGGCGUAAAGGGCACGCAGGCGGUUAAUUAAGUUGGAUGUGAAAUCCCCGGGCUUAACCUGGGAAUGGCAUUCAAGACUGGUUAGCUAGAGUCUUGUAGAGGGGGGUAGAAUUCCAUGUGUAGCGGUGAAAUGCGUAGAGAUGUGGAGGAAUACCGGUGGCGAAGGCGGCCCCUGGACAAAGACUGACGCUCAUGUGCGAAAGCGUGGGGAGCAAACGAGGGAUUAGAUACC